UAAUACGUAGGGUGCGAGCGUUAAUCGGAAUUACUGGGCGUAGAGCGUGCGCAGGCGGCUUCGCAAGUCAGGUGUGAAAUCCCCGGGCUUAACCUGGGAAUGGCGCUUGAAACUGCGGGGCUAGAGUCUGCCAGAGGGGGGUGGAAUUCCACGUGUAGCAGUGAAAUGCGUAGAGAUGUGGAGGAACACCGAUGGCGAAGGCAGCCCCCUGGGGUAAGACUGACGCUCAGGCACGAAAGCGUGGGGAGCAAACAGGAUUAGAUACCCUGGUAGUCCACGCCCUAAACGAUGUCAACUAGUUGUUGGGGGAGUUGAAUCCCUCGGUAACGGAGCUAACGCGUGAAGUUGACCGCCUGGGGAGUACGGCCGCAAGGUUA
rnacentral:rRNA from 1 species